GGCUCUUUGGUCAAGCGGCUAAGACGCCGCCCUCUCACGGCGGAAACACGAGUUCGAUUCUCGUAAGAGUCACCA
rnacentral:tRNA from 1 species